UCCCGGUUCACCCGGGCAGUCUCGUUAGAGUUCCCACCUUCACGUGUUGGCAACUAACGAUAAGGGUUGCGCUCGUUGCGGGACUUAACCCAACACCUCACGGCACGAGCUGACGACAGCCAUGCAGCACCUGUGCACCAGCCCCUAAGGGAAUCAACAUUUCUGCUGACGUCCGGUGCAUGUCAAGCCUGGGUAAGGUUCUUCGCGUUGCAUCGAAUUAAACCACAUGCUCCACUGCUUGUGCGGGUCCCCGUCAAUUCUUUUGAGUUUCAGCCUUGCGACUGUACUCCCCAGGCGGUAUACUUAUCACGUUAGCUUCGGCACAACCAGGGUUGAGUCCGGUUACACCAAGUAUACAUCGUUUAGGGCAAGGACUAC
rnacentral:misc_RNA from 1 species